rnacentral:rRNA from 1 species
CCGCGUUGUAACCUCGAGACACGUUUUCCGUGCGGCGCUAUGGACAAGUUCCUUGGAACAGGACAUCGUAGAGGGUGAAAAUCCCGUACUUGCCAUGGAUGUACCGUGCUUUGCGAUACGUGCUCUAAGAGUCGAGUUGUUUGGGAUUGCAGCUCAAAAUGGGUGGUAGACUCCAUCUAAAGCUAAAUAUCGGGGAGAGACCGAUAGCGAACAAGUACCGUGAGGGAAAGAUGAAAAGCACUUUGGAAAGAGAGUUAAAAGUACGUGAAAUUGUCGAAAGGGAAGCGCUUGAAGUCAGCCAUGCCGCUCAGGACUCAGCCUGGCUUUUGCUUGGUGUAUUUCCUGGGUAGCAAGUCAGCAUUGGUUUGGAUCGUCGGAGAAGCAUAGUCGGAAUGUGGCGCCCUCGGGCGUGUUAUAGCCUUCUAUUGGAUACGACGAUCUAGACCAAGGAACGCAG